GAUGAACGCUGGCGGCGUGCCUAAUACAUGCAAGUCGAACGAAGUCUUCGGACUUAGUGGCGAACGGGUGAGUAACACGUUGGUACCUACCUCGCAGUGGGGAAUAACUGCCCGAAAGGGUGGCUAAUACCGCAUAAUACCGCAAGGUUAAAGCAGUAAUGCGCUUCGUGAGGGGCCUGCGUCCCAUUGGCCAGCUGGUAGGGUAAUGGCCUACCAAGGCGACGAUGGGUAGCUGGAUCGAGAGGUUGACCAGCCACACUGGGACUGAGAUACGGCCCAGACUCCUACGGGAGGCAGCAGUAAGGAAUCUUCCACAAUGGACGAAAGUCUGAUGGAGCAACGCCGCGUGCAGGAUGACGGCCUUCGGGUUGUAAACUGCUUUUAUACGGGAAGAUUACGACGGUACCGUAUGAAUAAGGACCGGCUAACUACGUGCCAGCCGCCGCAGUAA
rnacentral:rRNA from 1 species